UCUCCGUAGGUGAACCUCCGGAGGGAUCAUUACAAGUGACCCCGGUCUAACCACCGGGAUGUUCAUAACCCUUUGUUGUCCGACUCUGUUGCCUCCGGGGCGACCCUGCCUUCGGGCGGGGGCUCCGGGUGGACACUUCAAACUCUUGCGUAACUUUGCAGUCUGAGUAAACUUAAUUAAUAAAUUAAAACUUUUAACAACGGAUCUCUUGGUUCUGGCAUCGAUGAAGAACGCAGCGAAAUGCGAUAAGUAAUGUGAAUUGCAGAAUUCAGUGAAUCAUCGAAUCUUUGAACGCACAUUGCGCCCCCUGGUAUUCCGGGGGGCAUGCCUGUUCGAGCGUCAUUUCACCACUCAAGCCUCGCUUGGUAUUGGGCAACGCGGUCCGCCGCGUGCCUCAAAUCGACCGGCUGGGUCUUCUGUCCCCUAAGCGUUGUGGAAACUAUUCGCUAAAGGGUGUUCGGGAGGCUACGCCGUAAAACAACCCCAUUUCUAAGGUUGACCUCGGAUCAGGUAGGGAUACCCGCUGAACUUAAGCAUAUCAAUAA
rnacentral:rRNA from 1 species